AUAUAUAUAUAUAUCCCUAGGAAUAUAAUUAAUAAUAACAAUAAUGUAAACUUUUUUGAUCCCAUCUUUGGGAAAUUCUUGUGUUAACGGUAGAUCUGCCCCAGGCAGGCGUCAAGUACUGUGUAUAAUUCCUGUGGGAAUCAAACCCAAGACUGCGCACCA